CUCAAGAAGAGGAAGCUGGCGAACAAACUCUGUGUUAUUCACAGGCCUCCUUUGAUUGCUUUUAUGAGCCAAGCAACAAAGAAAGAAGAUUUUGUUUCCUGCACGAGAGAAUAGCAGCAAACCUAAAGGACUUGCAACUAUGGAUGGCAAUCACACUGUCAGAAAAGACUGAACCUGCCCACUUCUCCUGUUUAAGCUCCUGUGAGACACAAGCAACAGGAAAAGAGCAAUACUGAGGAGGAGGUGGUGGCAAUCCUAGGUGUUGAAAACACUGAUGCUGAAAAUGAGACAGAACCUUCUGUUCUCAUUUUCUCACAAACUUUAUUCGUGCACUCUUGUACUACGGAACAACAAAAGUGGGACCAAAACAAACUCCAGAACAUCUGUGGCCUGAAAAGUUACAAGAUUUCUGCAGGAAGCAACAGCACAUGCACCGAUCAGAAAUGAAGCAGUAUGUCCAUCCUGAAGCGCUUGCAGUCACAAACAGUACGGAAAGUGGAUCGCAUAUAACUACCCCGAUACCAUGAUGAGCACAAAUAAUUAUAAAUGCACAAUAAAAAGA